UAUUUUCCUGCUGUUUCUUACUCCUUGCCUUUCCUCUCCAGUCAUUCACACUUGACCAUCUGCCUCUGUUCCGUGUUACUCCAGGCCAGAAGGGAUGCAUGUGUUCAGCACAGACCCCUGCAUCAGAAAAUGAACUCGGUGGUGUGGACAAGCCCUAAGGAGCAGAUCUGCAGGCAGGCGCCCGGCGCUGAGCCGGGGCGGUUCGGUGACGGUGACCGCUCCUCUUCUCCUUCGCACCUCAGUGGCAGAACCAGAGAUGCCAGCCAGAUCUGUCCCCUUCUGUUCGCAUCUCUGGGUGCUUUUGCUUUCAGCUCAAUUCCUGGACUGCAGGGUGAGGAAGCUGCUUGUGUGCAGAGCAGAUGCUGAACUGGUCAACAGGUUUUUUUUCUUCUGUGGAAAGAAACAUCAUCACGCUAUGACGCAGGCAUGAGGAAGGGCAUCCCCUAAAACCACUCUACGAACUGCUCUCGGGGUGGAAUCCCAGCUCAGUACUGCUUUUAAUGUCAGGAAUUUACUUAAAUUUCACUUCUCCUAUUUUGUUUGCUUGAAGAAAACCAUAAAAGUCCUCCCCAGCAUAAACUUACUGAUUUCAUGGCAUGAACCUUCCCCGCACGUCUCCCACAUGCCAGCUCAGCUGCUCAAGAUGUGAGAGGGGUGUUUGGGGACGAGGCAGGACUGGAGGCAGGAGGUCCCAAGCGCCUCGGGUCUGCGCUGCCAGGCACAGCAACCAGCAAAUGUCAAGGUCCCAUCCCAACCUUCCUGCAGCAGUGGGGACAAACUCUUCCACGCUUUACAUCAGCAAAAGAGCAGAACGCCAACGCAGCGGGGAGCAGAGGGACGUACUGAUGCUCUGCGCAGAGCGCCGCGCUGCCCGUCCCUGUGGCAAGGUGUGGGGAAGAGAGAGAUGUCAGCAGUUUGCAAGGGACCUGCAACACCUGAGCUCAACUUGUAAUGCUUCACAUGGACAGCACCUCCCGGUAACUCAGCGUGUUUAGCUGAAAGUGCCAGCAGCGCUCACACAGCAGCUCCAGCCCGGCCGGGAGGUUGGUGUGGGUGAUUCUCUGUGCAGCUGCGGGCAGAGCCAGCUGAGGGGCUGAGAUCUGUCACCUGCUGAGAAACACCGAUGUCACAGGGUCAGUUCUCACUCUCAUGAAGCCAGGUUAAUGGAAAAUACACAAAGGCUUUGAGAUGGGGACAUGAAAACCUCUUGUUUGGGGCUUUUUUCAGAAUGAGUUACACCUUGUUAAACCGAGUGGGAGCCCUGUGAGCUCCGCUUUCUAAGAUCACGUUCCUGCUGCUCCACGCGGCCUGGCCGCGCUGGCACCGUGCUCUGUGGGCACCCACCUGGGUGGCAGCGGGGGGGGGUGUGUGUGCAAGGAGUGCAGUGCAGAGGCACAGAGGUGAGAAACAGACUGCAAGUACACACAGCCAAACUAAGCAAAGCGUUAAUAAAUGUUUGGAGAACUCCCCGGGCCCCA
rnacentral:lncRNA from 1 species